rnacentral:rRNA from 1 species
CCUACGGGGGGCUGCAGUGGGGAAUAUUGCACAAUGGGGGAAACCCUGAUGCAGCGACGCCGCGUGAGUGAAGAAGUAUUUCGGUAUGUAAAGCUCUAUCAGCAGGGAAGAAAAUGACGGUACCUGAUUAAGAAGCCCCGUCUAACUACGUGCCAGCAGCCGCGGUAAUACGUAGGGGGCAAGCGUUAUCCGGAUUAACUGGGUGUAAAGGGAGCGUAGACGGCAGCGCAAGUCUGAAGUGAAAUGGCGGGGCUUAACCCCGGAGAUGCUUUGGAAACUGUGCAGCUAGAGUGCAGGAGAGGUAAGUGGAAUUCCUAGUGUAGCGGUGAAAUGCGUAGAUAUUAGG